AUGGCGUUCCCCAUGGAGAUCCAAGCCAAAGCCUCCACCGCCACCUCCUCUGCUCCCGAGGCCCGAGCGUCCUCUCAUCCAGGAGCACGAGCCCCUCGUCAUCGCGCCGCCCUGGCGAGUGUGCUAGCCGGCAACCUCGCCGGACCACCAGAUGAACCAGGCCGCCCCUCUGCUCCCCUCCGUCAUCCCCUUUUUCCUUUCCUUCUCCCUCUCGCAUCUCUCUCUCUUUUGCUCCCAGGGACCGACGCCAUGGACGCCAUGCUCAAGAUCCACCUCGUCGCCGUUUUGCACCCGUCCCAGCCUGGAAACGGACGGAUCCGUCUUCCCCGUGUCUGUCCCCUACCUCUCCGCCUCGCCAGAGUCCAGCACAUCGCCGGCUGCGCCACCUCAGGACGAGCCCUGCCCCGCCAUGGAUGCUGCCAUGGACGCCGCCUUCCCACUCCCGGCGCCCCUUCCUCAACCCUGCCUGCAAGUCGCCUCCUCCUCGUCGUGUUGGAGGAGACGAACGCCUCGCAAGCCUCUGCCCGAACCACGCCGGCCCGCCGCUUCCCGUGCCUGCCUCUGCCUGCGUCCUCUGCUUCUUCCAGGACGAGGCACCCGCUCGCACGCGCGUUGACCAGCUCCAGCGCGUGGGUCGCGCCCAGCUCCACCAGAUCCAGCCAGCCCAGCAUCGCAAGGCCCGGCGCCCCUUCCAGCCGGCCUGCCAGGCCUCCUCCACCGAACGGGCUGAAGCCCAUGGUUGCAGGUACAGGUUAUGCAAUGAUCAUGAUGAUCAUGACGCGAGAGCGAUGCUUGCUUGCGUUGAGUUCUUCUUCUGCUUCUUCGAUCAGGGGAUAG
rnacentral:rRNA from 1 species